UACGGAGGGAGCUAGCGUUGUUCGGAAUUACUGGGCGUAAAGCGCACGUAGGCGGCUUUGUAAGUUAGAGGUGAAAGCCCGGGGCUCAACUCCGGAACUGCCUUUAAGACUGCAUCGCUUGAAUCCAGGAGAGGUGAGUGGAAUUCCGAGUGUAGAGGUGUAAUUCGUAGAUAUUCGGAAGAACACCAGUGGCGAAGGCGGCUCACUGGACUGGUAUUGACGCUGAGGUGCGAAAGCGUGGGGAGCAAACAGG
rnacentral:rRNA from 1 species